UUUGUUAGAAUGGCAGGGAGUCAUUCAUCUCCAGCAUCAGCUGUUAAUGGCCUGUAGGUUUAGUGAAAGAGAGAAGGAAUAAUAGAGCAAGAGGCAGAGAGAGAGAAGAGAGGGAAUGGGGCAGGUGAGGCGCUGGAGGAGUGAGGACACAAUGGAGCUCUCCAGCAAGCAAACUGAUGGGGAAAACUAUGAAGAAUUAUAGUGGCAAUAUUGAGAAAACAAGAAAACACUGAAGGGCAAUGAGUUAAGUAAAUAAGGGAAUGUGGGUGAGAAGAGGGAGGGAGGGAGUACAAUGAGCUCUGAUAAGCAGCCCUAUCCUCCCUGCUCUGGCCAUUCUCAGCGCUCCAGGCUUGGGGAAGGCUCCGGAGAAGCAGGUGGAGCGGCCGAAGAGAGGAUCCUCUGUUCAGGGGGUCACGGGACAACAGGUUUGGAGCAAGAUCUGAUUGUUUGAGGCGCCCCCACCCCCUAUCCUAGCUCAUAUCACCUGUCCUGUGUUUCUCCCUCAGGUCUGCAGAUACCUACAGUGCAGAGUCCUCCUUGCUGUCAGGGGCACAUGCCUGAUUAGCCUCUCUCUGUGACCAGCAGAGAACAGGUUACUGGAGCCCAAGCAGCCAGUAGUUUUGUACAAUUUCCAAUCUGAUAGAAAAGUUGGGCAGUGUGGGUGCGUGGGUGAUCACUUCCACUGUAUGUCAGUAGAGGCAAGAGAAAGAGCCGCACUCGUAUGCAAAGCAAAAGGCACCAAAAGAAUAAACCGUUUCACUGCCAAAGGGACUGGAACAAAGUUCAACUGGAAGAGAAAUGGUUAAAUGUCAAGUAAUGAAACAGUACAAUAAUAGAACUAAAAGCUGGACUAUAUUUGCAACAUAUCAUAACUAUUAUAAAAGUUGAAGUACAUAUUAAACAAGUUUGUAGUGUGCGACGCCACUGAUGGCUUUGUGUAUUUACAUAUAUUUUUUAACGCACAAACACAUAUUUUUGUCACAAUUUUGACGUUAAUAACUAUAAGUCCCAUGUAGAAGGAGUGAAAUGAUUUCCAUGGAAGUGUUGUGUGUUGGAAGUCAAAGAAAUAAAUAUGAACAUACGAACGCUAAGAAAA